UACGUAGGGGGCGAGCGUUGUCCGGAUUUAUUGGGCGUAAAGAGCGUGUAGGCGGCCAGGUAGGUCUGCUGUGAAAACUCGAGGCUCAACCUCGAGACGUCGGCGGAAACCAUCUGGCUAGAGUCCGGAAGAGGAGAGUGAAUUCCUGGUGUAGCGGUGAAAUGCGCAGAUAUCAGGAGGAACACCGAUGGCGAAGGCAGGUCUCUGGGCCAUAACUGACGCUGAGAAGCGAAAAGCAUGGGGGAGCGAACAGG
rnacentral:rRNA from 1 species